rnacentral:tRNA from 1 species
UUGCAUUUAAUUUCGACUUAAAAGAGAGAGUAAGUAUUACUCCUUAUUUAUUUUUUAUAUUAUU